AUUGAACGCUGGCGGCAUGCCUUACACAUGCAAGUCGAGCGGCAGCGCGGGGGCAACCCUGGCGGCGAGCGGCGAACGGGUGAGUAAUACAUCGGAACGUGCCCAGUCGUGGGGGAUAACCAGUCGAAAGAUUGGCUAAUACCGCAUACGAUCUACGGAUGAAAGCGGGGGACUCUUGGGCAACUGAGGGCCUCGUGCUAUUGGAGCGGCCGAUGUCGGAUUAGCUAGUUGGCGGGGUAAAAGCCCACCAAGGCGACGAUCCGUAGCUGGUCUGAGAGGACGACCAGCCACACUGGAACUGAGACACGGUCCAGACUCCUACAGGAGGCAGCAGUGGGGAAUUUUGGACAAUGGGCGCAAGCCUGAUCCAGCCAUGCCGCGUGAGUGAAGAAGGCCUUCGGGUUGUAAAGCUCUUUCGGCGGGGACGAAACGGUCUGGGCUAACACUCCGGACUAAUGACAGUACUCGCAGAAGAAGCACCGGCUAACUACGUGCCAGCCGCCGCCGUAA
rnacentral:rRNA from 1 species